rnacentral:rRNA from 1 species
GACGAACGCUGGCGGCGUGCUUGACACAUGCAAGUCGAACGGAAAGGCCUGCUUUCCCUUGUGGAUUGCGGGUACUCGAGUGGCGAACGGGUGAGUAACACGUGAGUGAUCUGCCCCCAACUUGGGUAUAAGCCUGGGAAACUGGGUCUAAUUCCCGAUAGGACUGCAGGGUGGUGCCUGUGGUGGAAAACGAUUUUCUAGUGGUUGGGGAUGAGCUCGCGGCCUAUCAGCUUGUUGGUGGGGUAAUGGCCUACCAAGGCGGCGACGGGUAGCCGGCCUGAGAGGGUGGACGGCCACAUUGGGACUGAGAUACGGCCCAGACUCCUACGGGAGGCAGCAGUGGGGAAUAUUGCACAAUGGGCGGAAGCCUGAUGCAGCGACGCCGCGUGGGGGAUGACGGCCUUCGGGUUGUAAACUCCUUUCGACCGCGAGGAAGCCACCUGGUUGGAAGGGUGGUGACGGUAGUGGAAGAAGCACCGGCUAACUACGUG